CCUACGGGGUGCUGCAGUGGGGGAUAUUGCACAAUGGGGGAAACCCUGAUGCAGCGACGCCGCGUGGGUGAAGAAGCGCCUCGGCGCGUAAAGCCCUGUCAGCAGGGAAGAAAAUGACGGUACCUGAAGAAGAAGCCCCGGCUAACUACGUGCCAGCAGCCGCGGUAAUACGUAGGGGGCAAGCGGUAUCCGGAUUUACUGGGUGUAAAGGGGGCGCAGACGGCGAUGCAAGCCAGGAGUGAAAGCCCGGGGCCCAACCCCGGGACUGCUCUUGGAACUGCGGGGCUAGAGUGCAGGAGGGGCAGGCGGAAUUCCUGGUGUAGCGGUGAAAUGCGUAGAUAUCAGGAGGAACACCGGUGGCGAAGGCGGCCUGCUGGACUGCAACUGACGUUGAGGCCCGAAAGCGUGGGGAGCAAACAGGAUUAGAUACCCCAGUAGUC
rnacentral:rRNA from 1 species